rnacentral:rRNA from 1 species
CAGUGGGGAAUAUUGGACAAUGGGGGCAACCCUGAUCCAGCCAUGCCGCGUGAGUGAUGAAGGCCUUCGGGUUGUAAAGCUCUUUUGGCGGGGACGAUGAUGACGGUACCCGCAGAAUAAGCCCCGGCUAACUUCGUGCCAGCGGCCGCGGUAAGACGAAGGGGGCUAGCGUUGUUCCGAAUUACUGGGCGUAAAGCGAGUGUAGGCGGUUGCCGUAGUCAGGUGUGAAAGCCUUGAGCUCAACUCAAGAGAUGCACUUGAUACUGGGUGACUAGAGGACCGGAGAGGAUAGUGGAAUUCCCAGUGUAGUGGUGAAAUACGUAGAGAUUGGGAAGAACACCAGUGGCGAAGGCGGCUAUCUGGACGGUUACUGACGCUAAGACUCGAAAGCGUGGGGAGCAAACAG